rnacentral:rRNA from 1 species
GACGAACGCUGGCGGCGUGCUUAACACAUGCAAGUCGAACGGUAAGGCCCUUCGGGGUACACGAGUGGCGAACGGGUGAGUAACACGUGGGUGAUCUGCCCUGCACUUCGGGAUAAGCCUGGGAAACUGGGUCUAAUACCGGAUAAGACUCCGGACUGCAUGGUCUGGGGUGGAAAGCUUUCGCGGUGUGGGAUGGGCCCGCGGCCUAUCAGCUUGUUGGUGGGGUGAUGGCCUACCAAGGCGACGACGGGUAGCCGGCCUGAGAGGGGGACCGGCCACACUGGGACUGAGAUACGGCCCAGACUCCUACGGGAGGCAGCAGUGGGGAAUAUUGCACAAUGGGCGCAAGCCUGAUGCAGCGACGCCGCGUGAGGGAUGACGGCCUUCGGGUUGUAAACCUCUUUCAGCAUCGACGAAGCGAAAGUGACGGUAGGUGCAGAAGAAGGACCGGCCAACUACGUGCCAGCCGCCGCCGUAA